GUGACCUCCUGGAACCCACUUCAAUCCCAUCGUUCCCCUGGGUAAAACCCCAGGACAUCAGAGCCAGGUGGACUUCAACUAUCCAUCCUCACCACCUAUAACAAGGGAACUGGUGAUUUCUAUCUGGACAUUCAGCCAUGAAACGAGACCUUCCCAGACUCCCCACAGCCCUUUGCCUUGGUAAACUCUGAAGAGCACACCCAUACCCAUCGCUAGAGAGACUUAAAUUAAAAAUAGAUCUCAAGUUUUGAUGGGAGUGUGGAGCAACUGGAACUCUCAGACGCCGGAGGAAUGAGGAACAGGGUUCCAAAAAUCCAGAUUUUCCUUGACACUCUGCAAGGGGAAUGAGGAAACCACAGCGGACUUGAAAAAUUUUUUCAAUUAUAUGGUCUCAGAGUUUUUCCUUGUAUAGUUAAUUUGGCCAGUUCUGAGGACAUCAAAAAGAAGGAAAUCAGAUCACAACCCCUGGCGCUACUUCUGGAU
rnacentral:lncRNA from 1 species